CCUGGCUCAGGUCAAGCAUUCAGGUGUCGCGAAUGCUUUCCAGGUGUUCCACCAACAGGCAUAGAAUAGAUUUCCACUGUCUUGCUCGGCCGGGAGGAGGAAUUCCCUCGGAAGACUGAGACAGAUGAUGAAGAGAGCCAAACGUUUGGGGCUACGCUGGGGCUGCAGACAUUUUUCUGACAUGGGAGGAAGCCUGUUUCCGGUUGUCACGAGGCACCCACUGUUUGCAAGGAAGGAAGGAGCAUUAGUUUCUCCCCCCUGGAGGUCAAGUGGCAUGUUCUCCACAGAACUCCACGGAGGCAGAGCUGGGUUUCCUCUUCUCUGUGUGGAAGCCACAGUCAUGCGAAUCAGAAGCCUGCCUUUCUCUCAGGACAGGCGCCCAAGUACAAGUGGUGCAAAGCCGUUCAAGACAAACACAAGCUUUAGAAGAGAAGCCACUUCUGACCCCUGGCUUUCUGUGAAGGGGACAGGUCCAUGGAGAAAGGGCCAUUUCAAACAAGGUCACCACGAUGUGACCUUGGAAUCCAUGGUGCGUUUUCUUGAUCUCUGGGACAAAUGUUCGCCUCAUAGCGGGAGGCAUAAAGAGGAAGAGCAGAGCAGAGGGAUCUGAAAUUCCGGGAGCAAUGAGCCUUGAAAUAUGAAUAUGGG
rnacentral:lncRNA from 1 species